rnacentral:rRNA from 1 species
GACGAACGCUGGCGGCGUGCCUAAUACAUGCAAGUAGAACGCUGAAGAGAGGAGCUUGCUCUUCUUGGAUGAGUUGCGAACGGGUAAGUAACGCGUAGGUAACCUGCCUUGUAGCGGGGGAUAACUAUUGGAAACGAUAGCUAAUACCGCAUAACAAUGGAUGACCCAUGUCAUUUAUUUGAAAGGGGCAAAUGCUCCACUACAAGAUGGACCUGCGUUGUAUUAGCUAGUAGGUGAGGUAACGGCUCACCUAGGCGACGAUACAUAGCCGACCUGAGAGGGUGAUCGGCCACACUGGGACUGAGACACGGCCCAGACUCCUACGGGAGGCAGCAGUAGGGAAUCUUCGGCAAUGGGGGCAACCCUGACCGAGCAACGCCGCGUGAGUGAAGAAGGUUUUCGGAUCGUAAAGCUCUGUUGUAAGUCAAGAACGAGUGUGAGAGUGGAAAGUUCACACUGUGACGGUAGCUCACCAGAAAGGGACGGCUAACUACGUG